rnacentral:rRNA from 1 species
GACGAACGCUGGCGGCGUGCCUAAUACAUGCCAGUCGAACGCUUCUUUCCUCCCGAGUGCUUGCACUCAAUUGGAAAGAGGAGUGGCGGACGGGUGAGUAACACGUGGGUAACCUACCCAUCAGAGGGGGAUAACACUUGGAAACAGGUGCUAAUACCGCAUAACAGUUUAUGCCGCAUGGCAUAAGAGUGAAAGGCGCUUUCGGGUGUCGCUGAUGGAUGGACCCGCGGUGCAUUAGCUAGUUGGUGAGGUAACGGCUCACCAAGGCCACGAUGCAUAGCCGACCUGAGAGGGUGAUCGGCCACACUGGGGCUGAGACACGGCCCAGACUCCUACGGGAGGCAGCAGUAGGGAAUCUUCGGCAAUGGACGAAAGUCUGACCGAGCAACGCCGCGUGAGUGAAGAAGGUUUUCGGAUCGUAAAACUCUGUUGUUAGAGAAGAACAAGGACGUUAGUAACUGAACGUCCCCUGACGGUAUCUAACCAGAAAGCCACGGCUAACUACGUG